GGCCGAUAACGUAAAAGUUAAUUCAAAUUUGUAUGGAGUUUGAACGUUUGCAUACGUUUGCCAUUAGGGACGUUGUUCUAACUGCAUACUAGUUUGAGUUAACUUUUACGCUAUCGA
rnacentral:pre_miRNA from 9 species